AGUGUCCUCAGCCUCUCCUCACAGGAACUGCCUGCCAGCCCUCGUACCAGCUUUGUUGCCUUCCUCUGGACACUUUCAAGGACCUUAACAUCCUUUUUAUAUUGUGAAGUCCAGAACUACACACAAUAUUCAAGAUGAAGCUGCACCAAUGCUGAGUAUAGUGGGAGAAUCACCUCUUUUGGCUGGCCAUGCUGUGUUUAAUACACCCCAAAAUGCAGUGUGCCCUCUUGGUUGCCAGGGCACACUGCUGCCUUGUGCUGAGCCUGCUGUCAGCUAGCACCCCCAGGUCCCUUUCUGCUGAGUUUUCUGCAGUCUAUCUCCUUUUGUUCUUUGUCACUCACGUAAUAGCAUUAUAAAUUACUUUAGUGUACUGUACCUUUUACAAAUACAUUUCUUAAUAGCUUUUCAGAAAUCACCUUUCAUAGAAUAUGAUUUUACUAGUUUUCUGAUGUUAGUUUCUUCUAGGUUAUGUUUGAGCAAUUGCCAGUUCUUGAGUAGAUUUUCCAUACAAAACUGUCAUGUUUUUCUUCCUGUCUUAGGUGAAUUUGAAAAAACAGUCCCUACCUUCUUGGUAGGGAGCUAUCAGAGCUAAUUCUUUUGUGUGAAAAUGGAGCUAUUACUUUUUUUUUUUUUUUUUUUUUUGUGAAGCUGUGUCAAUCUAGGGUAAUUAAAUGGACUUGGAAUUUGCACUUUGUUGCUUUUUUUCUUGCUUUAAGAAUUGUUUAAAACAAAGCUCUUUAAAAAGUUCUUUAAAAAAAAUUACAUUGAUUCUGCAGAUUUUCUUAAAUUCCAUAAAUAAUAGGUAUUAGAGAUUUUUUGCUCAUAUUGUUUAGUACCUUUCAGAUGAGAGUUUGGUUUGUGAAUAAUAUCUUUAUUUUAAUUUCCAUAUUAAGAACUAUAGUCAAGGAAAGAAGAACUUUUCUUUAUGAUUGCAUAAACUUUUUGAAAAUUUUUUGAAGAUUUAUUAUAUUUAUAAAAGGUGUAUAUAUUGGUGUUUAAUCUUAUACUGUGGUUUAUUUUCUUCUAAAAGUGUUUCUUAAGAUUGGGAAAGGCAGUUAUAGAAGUCUUGUAGAUGGCAUAAGUCGUUCUUAUUACAGUAAACUGGUAUAAUUGCUGAAGCUUUUCCAUCCACUGUUUUAUUACAUACAGCACUGUAUUACAUGCGAAUACUAUAAUUUCAAAAGUAGUUAUGAAGUUAGAUAUGAAAUGUAUAUGACGUAGAAUCUUAUUUGCGUCUUACAGGAUCUGGACACUUCAGAUUGAAGCUGAGUCCCAAGAAAAGAAUUAAGGGGUGAAGUUUUUUUUUGCUUUUUGGAGCCUGCAGUUUCGGCCAAAGAUUUGUUCUUCAAAUAAUGUGGUCUAUCUUAUGUCUGGUGAAGAAACAGCUAAUAAGCCUGUCCUAGACUGAGUGCAUUGAAUGAGUCAUUUAGUAAGCAAAAACAGGCAAGUAAAUCUGAUAUGUUGUCAUAGGUAGGGGUUAACCACCAGCUGUAUUUGCCAGAAGUAAAAAUGCUGCAGCCCCACCCUCAGCCCACUCCACACAUAACUGUUCUGACAAAACAAACAGCAAUAUGCUUUGUAA